AUGAUUGAUUUUCGUGAUGCUCUGGAAGUUUGUGGAUUGGGUGAUCUUGGUUUUGCAGGGCUGCCUUUCACUUAUGACGAUCGUCGUGGAGGACGGGCGAAUGUCAAAGUCAGACUGGACCGGGCUGUUGCAAAUAAUUCUUGGCGUGACAUCUUUACACAUGCCAAGGUGGAACACUUCGUGAUGCCUAGUUCGGACCACCUUGCUAUUUUGCUUCGGUGUGUCAUGGAGGACCAGCCACCGGUGUCAGGUAGGAGGUGCCGUCAGUAUGAGGUAAUGUGGGAGAGAGACCCGACCCUCCCGGAGGUAAUAAUGAAUACUUGGGUUGACUUGGGGUCUAUGUUGAACCUGGGGGAUAUAGCAUCUGGUUUGGGCACUAUGAUGAAGAAACUGCAAGAUUGGAGCCGCAAAUUUUUUGGAAAUGUCAUUAAAGAAAUAAAUAAGUCCCGCUCACGUCUGGAAGAGCUUUUGUCGAUGAAUGCAGAUAGGAAGGAGAUCCGAGAGGCUACUGAUAAAAUGAACGAACUGUUGUACCGGGAGGAGAUGCUC
rnacentral:rRNA from 1 species